ensembl:lncRNA
AUUUGAGUGUGUAUUGAUGGGGACAAAGUAGUAAAAUGUUGGCUAAUCACUGACUACUGUGUGUCCUACAGUCUAAUCCUGCUGCUGAUGAAGAUGACCUUGGCAGCAGCUUUAGUAGUACAGAGCCUGUAGACCCAAUGGAUGAAAGCUUUCAGCCUGGAAUGUGCUCAAUCUCAACAUCAUCUGACUUUGAAACAAGCCAGGACAACCAAAGGUGGUUAAAUGCCCGCACAGUCAAGGAUGCUCAUCCUCAUUGCUGCACUGGGAGGUAAUGCCGUCUUCAGCACAAUGGACUUGACGUCAGGGUACUACAAUGUGUCACUGCAUGAAGAGGAUAAGAAGUACACGGCCCUUUCCUCUCCUUUAGGUCUGCACUAGUACAAUCGUAUGUCUACACAGGAAAUGAAGCAGUUCUUGUUUUUUCAGUGACGUUAGGAUAUUGCUUACCUUUUCUUUUUUUAUAUAUAUAUGUAGUAAUCUAAGCGUGUCUUAGAAUGAUUUGUGGGUUUGUCUAAUAUAUUUGACAAUUCAUGUAACUUUGUGUGUAGUCCAUCAACAUAAAAUGUAUAUGCCAUUUGUUGUAUACGGUUGAAUUUUUCCUAAUCCUUCACGGGAUAGCUUUUCAACUGGUCGACCAUUUGUGGGUCUAGAAUUAAGGGACUACACUGGGUUACUCUGUCGCCCUGGGGGUGUGAAAUGUUUUUUUUCUUUCUUUGCUUUGUUACCUUCGAGAUAAUGUGUUUUGAUUUGUGCCUAUAAUCUAGUGUAAAACAGUGGGGGUGAAUGUAGCAGUGUGAUGUUGUUCCCCUAGAUUAUGCACCAAGUUGCACACAAGGACCAGUUCGAAUAGGCCAGGUCAAGAGGGGAUGUUAAUAAUUUGAUAAUAAUAAUAAUAAUUCAGUGUGUAGCUAAUAUAUAUAUAUAUAUAAAUGUGAUUCUUCAAAGUAGCCACCCUUUGCCCGAUGACAGCUUUGCACACUCUUGGCCCUAUUCCACAAAGCUGUCAUCAAGGCAAAGGGUGGCUUCUUUGAAGAAUCUAAAGUAGAAAAUAUAUUUUGAUUUGUUUAACACUUUUUUGGUUACUACAUGAUUCAAUAUGCGUUAUUUCAUAGUUUUGAUGUCUUCUCUAUUAUUCUACAAUGUAGAACAGAGUAACAAAUAAAGAAAAACCCUGGAAUGAA